rnacentral:rRNA from 1 species
UUCCGGUUGAUCCUGCCGGACCUGACUGCUAUCGGAUUGAUACUAAGCCAUGCGAGUCAUUGUAGCAAUACAAGGCAUACGGCUCAGUAACGCGUAGUCAACCUAACCUAUGGACGGGAAUAACCUCGGGAAACUGAGAAUAAUGCCCGAUAGAACACUAUACCUGGAAUGGUUUGUGUUCCAAAUGAUUUAUCGCCGUAGGAUGGGACUGCGGCCUAUCAGUUUGUUGGUGAGGUAAUGGCCCACCAAGACUAUUACAGGUACGGGCUCUGAGAGGAGUAGCCCGGAGAUGGGUACUGAGACACGGACCCAGGCCCUAUGGGGCGCAGCAGGCGAGGAAACUUUGCAAUGUGCGAAAGCACGACAAGGUUAAUCCGAGUGGUUUCUGCUAAAGGAACCUUUUGUUAGUCCUAGAAACACUAACGAAUAAGGGGUGGGCAAGUUCUGGUGUCAGCCGCCGCGGUAAAACCAGCACCUCAAGUGGUCAGGAUGAUUAUUGGGCCUAAAGCAUCCGUAGCCGGCUCUGUAAGUUUUCGGUUAAAUCUGUACGCUUAACGUACAGGCUGCCGGGAAUACUGCAUAGCUAGGGAGUGGGAGAGGUAGACGGUACUCGGUAGGAAGGGGUAAAAUCUUUGAUCUAUUGAUGACCACCUG